rnacentral:rRNA from 1 species
AUUCCAGCUCCAAUAGCGUAUAUUAAAGUUGUUGCAGUUAAAAAGCUCGUAGUCUGACCGUUGAUCGGCAUUGAGCGUCCGUGGCUACUGGUCAUGUGUACGCGAGGUGCUGGUCACUACCUUCGGAGGAGCGUUCGUGCUUUUAACUAAGUGCGUGCGGGAUUCCGAUAGUUUACUUUGAGAAAAAUAGAGUGUUCAAAGCAGGCGUUUGCCUUGAAUACAUUAGCAUGGGAUAAUGAAAUAGGACGUUGGUUCUAUUUUGAUGGUUUACGGACCGACGUAAUGAUUAAUAGGGACAGUUGGGGACAUUUAUAUUCCAUGGCUAGAGGUGAAAUUCUUGGAUUCAUGGAAGAUAAACUACUGCGAAAGCAUUUACCAAGGAUGUUUUCAUCA